UAGCGCAGAGUAUGUUGACGCGGUAUCUCAUUAACAUCGUGAUAUAACCUGUAUGCCCAGCAAGGGAGGAAGAAUAUAGCAAAAUUUUACUUUUAUGCCAGUAAAAAAAAAUGAUUAAGACAGCAGUGACUUUUUUUAAAAUCGUUUUUUACUAAAAUUUUUGUCAGGUUUAAAACCUGAAAGGCACUACUGUCUUGAUAUUAUUUCAAUGAUAAAUUAUUGAAAUUUAGGAAGCUACUAACUUUAACAAUUUACUAAUUUAGUUUUUGAUUAAACAAGUGAAUAUAGAUUAAGAAAAAAAAUAUAUGGAUAAAAAUAGAAUCUAAUUACACAACGAACAAGUAGGGUAAUGUAACUUUGAGGGAAUAACCACCUUAUCAUAAACAAGUGAACCC